rnacentral:rRNA from 1 species
UACGGAGGGGGCUAGCGUUGUUCGGAAUUACUGGGCGUAAAGCGCACGUAGGCGGCUAUUCAAGUCAGAGGUGAAAGCCUGGAGCUCAACUCCAGAACUGCCUUUGAAACUAGAUGGCUAGAAUCAUGGAGAGGUCAGUGGAAUUCCGAGUGUAGAGGUGAAAUUCGUAGAUAUUCGGAAGAACACCAGUGGCGAAGGCGGCUGACUGGACAUGUAUUGACGCUGAGGUGCGAAAGCGUGGGGGAGCAAACAGG